GACCUCAAAUCGGGUGAGACUACCCGCUGAACUUAAGCAUAUCAAUAAGCGGAGGAAA
rnacentral:rRNA from 1 species